rnacentral:lncRNA from 1 species
CUUCAACUUGACAAUGCCAUCCAUCCAAUUUUUUAUUAUAAAAAUUAUACGAGCGAUAUUGCGACAACAAUAUCUUGAGUGUAAGAGUAACUACUUUAUUAUUGUUGGGUAUUUAAGCUAUAAACCUCUUGCUGCAUCAUUCCUUACAAAUUUGUAAUCCUCUCCGCACAGUAAAUAUUGCAUUUUCGUUGGCCUGGACCUUGUCAACCUCUCCUGCCCUUCCGUCCCACUCUCUAUCAGCUUCCACUAAAAGCAUCUGGUUUUGCUCGCUCCUCAGAGUGGGUGGGCCUCCUCAUUUUUUGUCCAUAUUUUCUAAUUCUGACUCUUCCGGCAUUUAUUCCCCGCCUGCCUUUGUUCUUUACUUGAAAAAAAACAUCCACACUCUUCUAUUAUUCAAACAAUUACUGGGCAAAAGUCUUCUCUCUCUCUCUCUCUCUCUCUCUCUCUCUCUCUACAUUGUAUGGGCUUUUAUUGAAAAGAGAAAUCCAACUUGAACUACAAACCGAAGCCCAAUGCAGAGUCGAUUGACAUUGAGUACGAGUUGGUGUGGCCCUUCUUCAUAUGCAAUAUGCAUUUGCUGGGAUGGGAGGAUUACGUAGAUAGAGGGAUGUAGAAGCCCAUCGUCAUCACUUGUGAUGGUGAGAAAAUGGAAUGGUAGGAAUAGUAGGUGACAGAUUGACUGCAUGUGAAUUGUUGACACCAAGAGGACCAGAAAAUAGUGCUAAACCCCAAAUUUGUUGAAUUAGGGAACGUCUUCAGUUUUUCGAGCGACUGAUUGUAGCAAAAUUUCCGUUCAAUCUCUAACUAUGCCCUACGAGAAGCCAGAAUCAGAUUUUGGGCUGCAAAGUGUAAUCUCUAGUUGUAAUACUAGAGUGAGUGCAAACACAUUCCCUAUUGAUAAUUAAGAUGUGUGGGUGUCCAGUUCCUUUAAGUCGUAGGUCCAUAAUAUAUAUGCACAAACCUACCUAAACCAGGAGGAGAGGAGCACCCAUCAUUAAGCUUUAUGUCUAGAGGUCGGUCUCUUGGGCAAGUGAAACACCUGGGUUUGGUUUGGUUUUUAUUUCAACACGUGUACGGCUACAUAAAAUGAAUCCACACGAUUUUUUGAAUUUUUGAAUAUUUUUUUGGUCGUGGAAUCAAUGGAUAGCUAGCUG